ACUGGUCACUUCAGAGGCUUGUGGGUAGUCGGCUGUUGUGAACGUAUGUGUGAGCCGUCGUGUUUGUGUGUACCUGCCUUGUUGCUAUCCACUCAUUUAAGUACUGGUUGAGACCUGAACCCUUGCCAGCCACGCGGGGAUCAUGCAGUACUGUAAGAGACAAAGCCACGCGACCGGUUAUUGAGUGAAGGGAAAUGGUUACCAGCCAAGUGGUCAUCCCACUCGCAGGAAAACGGCGGGACCUGCUUGACAUCACAUCUAAAACCCAUCGUCCCGUUGUCCCUGAGCUGCCCGGCUGGGAAAAGGUGCCGCAUCAGGAAGAGGAGAGGAGGAGGAUGGUGGUGGUAAUGAAGAAGGAAGAGGAAGGAGACGAAUACAGUGGAAGAAAAAAAACAAAACAAAGAAGGAAGGAAGGAAAACAUAAAUAAAUGAAUACUGAAGAGAGGCAACACAAAAAAGAAAAAAAAAUCUUGGAGGAGGAGAAUGACGAGGAGGAGGAUGAGAAGGACCAGGAGGAGGAGGAAGAGGAAGAGGAGGAAUGUUAAAAGGUUUGUGGAGUAUAAAAUUGUGGACGCAUCCUGUCUGAGUCUUUGGUGUUUGUUUGUUUGAAUUCCACCACCACCACCACCACCACCACCACCACCAUUAUUAUCAUUGUCACGUAUAAACUACACGGCAUUAUAAUAAGUAUCUACGUGCCUUCGUCGAGAUACCUGUAGUCAUCAGCAAUUUGUCCCCUCUCUCUAUAUAUUACAUAGAUUAUUUUAUGUAGAGCCUUUAGGCGAAUGAAAGGACAUGUUAGAAAGAAUAAUAAAAAAGUUCGGUAGUUAAAUACAGAGAAUAGCUACUAGGGGAACAAAAAAAUGCAGAAAAAAGAGGAGUAGGAGGUAGAGAAUAAUAAUAAUAAUAGUAAUCGUAAUAAAAAAUAAUAAUAACGCGAGGAAGAAAACGAUUAAGAGGAAAAACUGAAAAAAACUGAAAGAAAGAAUAAAAAGAAAAAAAAGUGCAGGAGAAUGAAAAAUCAGAAGCACAGACAGACAUAGAGGAAACAUGAGAAACUAUCGUACUAUCAAUCCACAACCAUGGGCUGGAGCGAUGGUUCCUGCAGUACAAAUGCGGCAGACUGGGGGAGAAAUACGAAAGAAAACGGGUAUGAGUGUCAGAGAAAAUGGACAUCCGUACUACUUGUCUUGUCCCUUUUUGUAUUGUUUGUUACUACCAACUACUACUACUACUACUACUACUACUACUACUACUACUACUACUACUACUACUACUACUACUACUACUACUAUUACUAUAAGUGAUGGGUAGGAAUUUAAUUUCAGAGACUUAAAUAUUGUUUUCUAUUUUCAUUUUACCUUUCGUCCUUGAAUCAUGAGUAACCAGGAGGAAACAGGCUCAAGGUGUGUGUGUGUGUGUGUGUGUGUGUGUGUGUGUGUGUGUGUGUGUGUUUCGGUAUUUCCUAUCCAUAUAAUCCUUGUCCCAAUUCUUUUUUUAUUUUUCUUUGUCUUUAUUCGCGCUUUCCCUCUUCCCAUUGCUUCUCUCUCUCUCUCUCUCUCUCUC